GAUGAAGAACGCAGUGAAAUGCGAUACGUAAUGUGAAUUGCAGAAUUCAGUGAAUCAUCGAGUCUUUGAACGCACAUUGCGCCCCCUGGUAUUCCGGGGGGCAUGCCUGUCCGAGCGUCAUUGCUGCCCUCAAGCACGGCUUGUGUGUUGGGCCUCCGUCCUCCUCCCGGGGGACGGGCCCGAAAGGCAGCGGCGGCACCGCGUCCGGUCCUCGAGCGUAUGGGGCUUCGUCACCCGCUCUUGUAGGCCCGGCCGGCGCUUGCCGAAACAUCAAUCUUUUUUCCAGGUUGACCUCGGAUCAGGUAGGGAUACCCGCUGAACUUAAGCAUAUCAAUAAGCGGAGGA
rnacentral:misc_RNA from 1 species